rnacentral:rRNA from 1 species
UGGGGAAUAUUGCACAAUGGGCGGAAGCCUGAUGCAGCAACGCCGCGUGCGGGAUGACGGCCUUCGGGUUGUAAACCGCUUUCGCCUGUGACGAAGCGUGAGUGACGGUAAUAGGUAAAGAAGCACCGGCUAACUACGUGCCAGCAGCCGCGGUGAUACGUAGGGUGCGAGCGUUGUCCGGAUUUAUUGGGCGUAAAGGGCUCGUAGGUGGUUGAUCGCGUCGGAAGUGUAAUCUUGGGGCUUAACCCUGAGCGUGCUUUCGAUACGGGUUGACUUGAGGAAGGUAGGGGAGAAUGGAAUUCCUGGUGGAGCGGUGGAAUGCGCAGAUAUCAGGAGGAACACCAGUGGCGAAGGCGGUUCUCUGGGCCUUUCCUGACGCUGAGGAGCGAAAGCGUGGGGAGCGAACAGGCUUAGAUACCCUGGUAGUCCACGCUGUAAACGGUGGGUACUAGGUGUGGGGUCCAUUCCACGGGUUCCGUGCCGUAGCUAACGCUUUAAGUACCCCGCCUGGGGAGUACGGCCGCAAGGCUA